GAUGCAUACGUUAACUAUAGCCGAAAACUCAAAUUGGUGAUGCGCUUCGUAGAGCUAUACAAACCGUAUAUGUUAUUCAAGGGCAUCUUUGAUGACACCAAUUCGGAGGAGCUGCGAAAGGUGGCAAGUGAGAGUUACAUAGAUGCAAACAUAUUUAACUUUGAUCCGAAUUGCAUUGAUUGGGAAGACUACAUUAUGAAUACUCACAUCCAUGGCCUCCGAAAGCAUGUUAUGGUUAAGUGAUAGCCAGAAGAGUCGAUAGAUUGCCAUUACACAAUAAAAUAAUAUUUUUGUACGCAUGUGUUAUAAGUUUGCAAUAUCCUUGUAUACAUGCAAACCAGCCAAAA